CUUCCAUCCCGAAAGUCCAACUGGUGAGCUCCUCCCCCUUCUCUGCAUCCACAUUGACAGUGGCUGGAAGAAGAACGCAAUUCCUCGCCUGUUCAGAAAUGCACAACAAUUAGAGCUGACAGAUGAAAAGCUAACAGCUGGAAUUAACGUGAGGCCACACGCCAUUCACCACUGCAUCAGAUGUCUUGAGGCUGCAUCCUAAGAUGGCGUGAGGCUACACGCCAUC
rnacentral:lncRNA from 1 species